AGCAGUCGCCGCGGGAAUACGUAGGUGGCAAGCGUUGUCCGGAAUUAUUGGGCGUAAAGGGCUCGCAGGCGGUUUCUUAAGUCUGAUGCGAAAGCCCCGGCUCAACCGGGGAGGGUCAUUGGAAACUGGGAAACUUGAGUGCAGAAGAGGAGAGUGGAAUUCCACGUGUAGCGGUGAAAUGCGUAGAGAUGUGGAGGAACACCAGUGGCGAAGGCGACUCUCUGGUCUGUAACUGACGCUGAGGAGCGAAAGCGUGGGGAGCGAACAGGAUUAGAUACCCCUGUAGUCCCUGUCUCUUAUACC
rnacentral:rRNA from 1 species